rnacentral:lncRNA from 10 species
GGCCCGCAAGCACCGCGCGCAGUCCCGGUUCCUGCCCGCGCCUCUCCCUCCACACCUCCUUGCAAGCUGAGGGAGCCGGCUCUGGCCUUGGCCAGCCCAGAAAGGGGCUGCCAUAGUGCAGCGGAGGGCUGAAGGGCUCCUCAAGUGCCGUCAAAGUGGGAGCCCAGUCAGAGGAGGUGCCGAAAGCGAGCGAGGGCUGUGAGGACUGCCAGCACAGUGUCACCUCUCACUCUCUCUCAGUGCUGUGAGAGUAUGGGUUCCUCUCCCACUUGAGUGCUGGCUACAGAACUUGGCUUCGCACUGCUGGGCUGUGCACCACGGCCCUAAGCUGGAGGGCAGUAAGGGCAGUACCGCUGCAGCCGCAAUGAGAGAGGGGCUGUGCGUUGUCUACAGAAUUCCCUCCCCAGAGAAACUCAGAGCUGCCACCUACUGAAAUGUUCAGGGUCAUCAUGUCAUAGAUGGAAGAAGGUCAAGAUUGAUGAAUAUCAUGCUUCUUCAAACUUCCUUAACCAGACCAACUAGUGACAACAACCAAA